rnacentral:rRNA from 1 species
AGUGAACGCUGGCGGUAGGCCUAACACAUGCAAGUCGAACGGCAGCACAGUAAGAGUUUGCUCUUACGGGUGGCGAGUGGCGGACGGGUGAGGAAUACAUCGGAAUCUACUUUUUCGUGGGGGAUAACGUAGGGAAACUUACGCUAAUACCGCAUACGACCUACGGGUGAAAGCAGGGGAUCUUCGGACCUUGCGCGAUUGAAUGAGCCGAUGUCGGAUUAGCUAGUUGGCGGGGUAAAGGCCCACCAAGGCGACGAUCCGUAGCUGGUCUGAGAGGAUGAUCAGCCACACUGGAACUGAGACACGGUCCAGACUCCUACGGGAGGCAGCAGUGGGGAAUAUUGGACAAUGGGCGCAAGCCUGAUCCAGCCAUACCGCGUGGGUGAAGAAGGCCUUCGGGUCGUAAAGCCCUUUUGUUGGGAAAGAAAAGCAGCAGGUUAAUACCCCGCUGUUCUGACGGUACCCAAAGAAUAAGCACCGGCUAACUUCGUG